GACGAACCGUGCGAACGUUGUUCGGAUUCACUGGGCUUAAAGGGCGCGUAGGCGGGCUCGCCAGUCAGGGGUGAAAUCCUCCGGCUCAACCGGAGAAUAGCCUUUGAUACUGCGAGCCUCGAGGAAGGUAGGGGCAUGUGGAACUUCCGGUGGAGCGGUGAAAUGCGUAGAUAUCGCUUGGAACGCCGAAGGUGAAAACAGGCUGCUGGGGUUGUGCCGACGCUGAGACACGAAAGCCAGGGGAGCAAACGGG
rnacentral:rRNA from 1 species